CAAAAGAUGAAAGCGUAUGAUUGUAUGAUGAGGCCAUGUUCUCUAGGAAACAAGGAAUCAAGCCUAGUUUAACUCAUCUUCAUGUAUAGAAGCAUAAUUUGUCACCUCCCGUUGUAUUUCCGAGCAUAGACCAAUGGUGGAAGCCACACCUCAUCUUCUCCAUCCACCCACCUUACUCUAUCCUGCAUCGAAGAAGUUGUGCAACACUAUUUUGGAUCCCAAAUUCUUAUAUGAGACUGUCCUCACCAUCAACUGAUGGUGAGACCAGUUCACACUAAUUACGAAUUUAGGGAUUAUUGUUAUGCUACCGUAUGCAAUGGCUAGCAUAUAUUGAGCCAAGUUGUUCAUGCCUCGUUGCACUAUUUAUUCUACCCCGUUUGUAGGGUAUAUAUGGGAGGUCUAUGUGAAUUGAAUUAAGGAUUUUCCGUGCCUAGUGACAGGCAUGUCGUGGAAUCUCAAUAGUAUAUUGAGAAGGAACAAUGAGAGUAAUAUCACUUGAGUCUUGAAUGUUGAUCACAAGUCCUAAUGGAUUAAAAAGGAGUAUUGUUUGGUUGUCUGUUUAUUAAAUGUCUUGUUGUUGUGUCUUGAGCUCACCCUGUAAAUAAAAUAUUAAUAAACGUAAAGUGCGACCAGAACAAUCUUCAAUAAUCUUGGAACGUAUAUAUCUUGAGUAUGAACAAUGGGGGGAGUCUUGCCGGAAAACUUGUACUCCUACUAAUGAUACAAGACGUUGUUUCAUUUCUUUUUAUGCGCUGGAAUUCCGUCGGUAUGGUCCGAAAAGUUGGUUAUUUUUUUAUUUUGGUGUUUGGUUGGCUCCCAACACCCUUUCGUAAUGGAUAUUUAUUUUAGUGUUUGGUUGGCUCCCAACACUUUUCCGUAAUGGAUA